AGGCGAAAUGCUUGCGGCGACACUACUAAUACAAAUUCAUGAAUACAAGAUACAAAUAAAAACUAAAAACCGUGGGGUGGGUAGGAGUACGACGAAUAGAUGUGUUGCCAAGUUGUUCAAUUUAUUGCAAAAUUGUUUUAUUAAAAUAUUCAGAUUACUUGGAUAUUUAAUACUUAAUUAUUUAAUAAAUUAUUUCAUGGAACACCUUGAAUAGGUUCGCGGAACAUCGGUUCUAUGGAACGGCAGUUCAGAACCACUGAUGUAGGCAGUUCCAUGAGAGCAACCCACACUACCAAUGUUAAUACACUACUAUGUUGUCUAUUGACACACAUCAGUCAUCACUGAUCAUCUCCUCCAAACACUUUUUCUAUGGUCUCUGCAACCUCCACAGAAUGAACUUGACACUUAUCUGUGAUGCUUGUUUUCACAUGUUUUUGAAUUUCUGGAUUCAAUUUUGGACAGCUUUUCUUGACAUGCACCUUUCACUGUAAACUGGAAGCAUUUCUUAUAAACUACUUCUGUGACCAGUCCUUUGGCCCAAGGAAAGUCACAAUUGCACACUAUUCUCAUAUUCAUUUAUGCAACACAGUUGCAUGUUAAAUUGGCUACAGUUGACUGACUGUGGCAUGUAGGGUAUAACAUUAGUUCUGAUUUCUUAACUUCUGGUAUUCUAUCUACUGGCACAAAAUGCAUAUUGAAUUUUAUAUGGUUUUCAAUCUGUAUGGAUUUGCUACCUAAUAUAUGCAGAAAAGAAGACUUUAAACAGCCCUAACACUGCAAUCAACCAAUGAUCUAUUAUGUAAUUCUAGCAGAAUCAUUCAAUAAGAAGUCCAGUUAUAUACAUGAGACAGAUCUUUUUCAGUUCUGUUGCAAAAGAUCUUUGGUGCAGGAAAAUGCCUAGAUCAUGCCUUAGCCCUGAAAGGACCACACAUCUACAAAAAAUGUCAGGGAGGAGAUAACUCUUCAUACCUCUAUAAUUUGGACUAUCAGCAAUCCCAAUUAAGUGAAGAUGCUUCCUAAGAUGACAGUGCAACUAAAUGCAUUAGUAACAAUUU
rnacentral:lncRNA from 1 species